UUUUUCUUUUCAUUACCUUUCAGAGUUUUUUUUCUUUUUCCUUGUUCUUAUAAAAAUGUUGACAUUUAAGUAAAAAUUGUCAUAAAAGCUUGAAGUGAAUAGUGUUACUGGCUAUUAUCAGACUCCAAGUUGUUUAACAUAAUAUCCAUGGGUUUAAUUUGACCUUACAACUAAUAUCCAAAGAUUUCUCAAGAAAGUUGUGGCAUUGGAUCUUGAAAGCUUAGAACAUGGCACUCGAUAUCAAAAAUGUAUUUUGAAGGCAGUUUGACAGGGUAUGUUCAGUGCCUAUUUUCCAACCUAACAAGGGGCAAACUCCUUAACAGUAAAAGCGAAAAUUGUCAUUAGUAUCAACAUAUUUAAAUUUGAAUAGCAUUGGUGGAACAGUUCAUCAGUUAUAGCACAGAGCAACAAAAAAUAUUGUUU
rnacentral:lncRNA from 1 species